rnacentral:rRNA from 1 species
UGUGAGUCUGACGAGCACGCCGCGUGAGUGAAGAAGGUUUUCGGAUCGUAAAACUCUGUUGUUAGAGAAGAACAAGGAUGAGAGUAACUGUUCAUCCCUUGACGGUAUCUAACCAGAAAGCCACGGCUAACUACGUGCCAGCAGCCGCGGUAAUACGUAGGUGGCAAGCGUUGUCCGGAUUUAUUGGGCGUAAAGCGAGCGCAGGCGGUUUCUUAAGUCUGAUGUGAAAGCCCCCGGCUCAACCGGGGAGGGUCAUUGGAAACUGGGAGACUUGAGUGCAGAAGAGGAGAGUGGAAUUCCAUGUGUAGCGGUGAAAUGCGUAGAUAUAUGGAGGAACACCAGUGGCGAAGGCGGCUCUCUGGUCUGUAACUGACGCUGAGGCUCGAAAGCGUGGGGAGCAAACAGGAUUAGAUACC